GUUUGUUGGGUCUCAACAGAAAUGUCAUGGUGAGUCGUAACCUUUACUGGAGCACGUUAUCUGCUCUGAUAGCGUGGCCAGACCGGGACGGGGACCUACGCGAUGCGAUUGGAUUUGAAAGGUCCCCAUCCCAGUCAUGCCCACCGGCUAUCUUGCCUCCACAGUUCAGCAACACCAGCAUAACGGCAUGCCGCAAAGUUUCAAGGAUCUGAUCUGUCCUGCUGCAUCUACAUCUCCCUGCCCCUAAUUAAUCAGCUGAGGCCGGAGAAUAGGAGCUGGGUCAUUCUGUGUUUGAGCGGAGAGGAUGUAUGACGUGAGGAAGCGUGACACAGAAAGGGAUAGCAGUGAAAGAAAUCAGUUCGACAUUUCUCAGCUGCUCUUUUUUUUUUUUUUUGCUUAAAUGUGGGAGUGGGAUAUGAGAAGCUGUUGAGAGAAAAGAUGGAUGGGAUAGGUGUUAUUAAAUGCAGAUCUGUUUAGAGAAGUGCUGACAUGUGUAUCUGUCACUUUGGGUCAUGAGUUAUGAAAGUGACAAUGCCACCUCUUUGCUUAAACCAGAGAGAUCCGAGGAUGUCCUUGAUGUCAGCUUGGAUAGACAAAUGGAUAUCUACAUUUCAUAAACCACGCUACAUUUUUAAAAAGGAAGCCAUAGGGGUGAUGAUCUGUCUUUUUUUUUUUUGUCACAUUCAUUAUUAAAACAGCUACAGAGAGUAAAAUGUGGUGACAUAAUUAGCGGGAUUGUUGCAAAGCAAAGAUCUGAGUCCAGCUCAGGUCAUACUGCAGUUUAAAGACAACUGCACCUUCAAAUAUUUAAGCUGCCAUUCACAAUUUAAUUAAAACUGCUCCUGCCUGCCACACACACACACACACACACACACACACACACACACACACACACACACACACACACACACACACCAGUCUUAUAGCCUGACGGUGAGGUGCAGAAGGUUUCAGGCGUGUGUAAGAGUUUCAAAAUAAGAGCUCUCAAUGUGAUGCAGAAGAUUAGUUAGUUGACCACAACCACGUCCAAAAAAAUAAAAAAUAAAAGCCUUGGUUUAAAGAUGCUUUAGUCACACAUUUUCAAACAACAACAACAACAAAAAGCCUCCAGUUGUAUGCAUAAAGGCACUGGGAUCUCUAUUAAAGACCAGUAAACUACAGAAAAUGACAAAUCUCCCCUCAAAAAAGAAAAGAAAAUGUCCAUAGUUAGUUCUAUAAACUUAAAAACAUGAUAAGAGUAAAUAUAACGUUUAACAAUAGUUAGGUUUUCAAAUUAAAAACCCUGGACUACCUGAAGAGGAAUCUAUUCUAUCAAAAUAAAACUCUCCAGUUAUUAUCGGAUGUUUUAAAGAAGCUUUAAUGCCAUGAGCAUUUCAAAAUAAACUUGUUAAAAAUCAUUUGAAAAAAAAAAUACGGAUCCUGAAAAG
ensembl:lncRNA